rnacentral:lncRNA from 10 species
CGUCCCUCUCCAUCUUGUAUGAUACUUGCUUUAUCAAUUCCAGGUGUGCCUCAUACAGAGGUGCUGGUCCAUGCCUCAGCCUUGCCAUGCUGUCCUCUACUCAGGUCCCCUGUCCUGUGCCAUUGUACAUCUUGUCUCCUGCCCCAGAGCUCCAUGAAGAGUGUCGUCUUGCUCUUUGCAAAACAUCUGCCUCUUUCUUUGUCUGGAGGAGGAGCUGCCAGGAAGGGAAGCUGCCAGGAAGAAGAGCAACUCAAGUUGGCCUACUUCCUGUUUUGAAACCCAGGGACUUGCUUGCAAUCAAGGAUGGGUUGUAGAGGCUUGAGGAAGAUAGUUCCCAGCACCCCAUGAAUAAAGGGCUGGUUGUGGCGUGUGGUUCGCAUGGCUGGCAGUGUGCUCUUGAGCCUAUUUCUGGCUUAACAAUAUGCCCUCCCUCCAUGGGGUUGCAUUUUCUUAGAAAUCCAAGAUGCCAAGAAGGGCAAUGUUGGUGGCCUGAUCUGGUACAGGAAAGCUAGCCUGAUGGUAUGUGUUCCUCUACCUUUGAUACUUAGUGUUUUCCUCCUUCCCUGUUCCCAUGGAGAAGAAGCAGCAGGGCUACUGGGGCACCGAAGGAGAACUCACGACUUACUCCCUACAGCUUUCCAGAAGCACAAUGCGUGGCCCUCAUCUCUGGCACCACAGUCGCUCCCCUCUUUCAAGCCACAUCAUCUCUUGUUUGAAUGCCUGCAAUAUCUCCUAGUCACUGUCCACGCCCUUGCCUUCCUGCAAUACCUAGUCCAUGCAACAGUAUCAUCUUUUCAGAAUGCAACUGUGACCCAGGGCUGCCCAAUCAGAGCAUGACAUCGCCUGGCCGGCAUGACUGGUUGAGGGAUGGCCUGUAAUCUAAGCUAGUGAAUAAUUAUAACUCUCACCUUUUAAGCUCUUGCUGUGUGCCAGACAUGGGGCAAAACCCCUGACAACCAGCAUCUCACUUCACCCUCACAAUAAUCCUAUGCUGUCAGCACUAUUAUUAUUAGAGGGGGUUAGUAGCUUGCCACAGGAAUCUACUGAGAAAAGCGUCAGAACCUGAAUUCAAUACUUUCUAAAUCCACAACCCAUGUUUACAAUGAAGUGUUAACAGAGACAUAGAGCACCCUGUGGCUAUUUUCUCCCAACAACAACACUUUUCACUAUGUCUUCUAGUGAGGCCAGUGUUGUGGUGCCAUGUAGACAAAGCCAAAAACAAAAAAACAGGGGCUGGGGGGACCUGCUGAACAGCCUGGCUACCCAGGGCUUAUCAGCGAGAUUGUCCUCCCUCCUGCAAGCAAGGUAAGGCAUAUAUGCCCCCUAACAGUAGUAGGUUUUAUUUUUUUUUUUCUGAAUAAAAAGCCACCACAUUGUAGUAAUCUGCUACAUCUUGGUGGACUGAUCAGUUUCUCCUCCUGAAAUUGAUCUGGACAUAUUUUUGCAUUUAUCCUGGGAUGGAACCUCCUGCAAGAUUCCUCCUUUUUGGUUUGGUUUGAAACACAAUGGUUUGCCACCAUUACCGAUAUCCUCAGCACACUUAGCAGGCUGUCCCAAGAGUGGAAGAGUCCCGUCGUGCACUGGGCCAGGAAUCUGGGGUCAGAAGGACCAGUGUGAAGAGCUGUGUAACUCCAACACAGCACAGGAGCUAGCUAAACCCAUCUCUCAAUAGGAGAAGAACCCUACCUCUCAGGGCUGGAGGAGGGCUGCACUCAUUUCUGUCCAUGCUUAGUCAAGUGCCUGGCACACACCCUCCUAAAGACUAAGUAAAUUGUAGCUCUUUUUAUUCAUUGUUCUACUGAGAGGAAGAGUUGAUUUUAAACUCAUGAUUAUUGGCUUAAUUAAUUUAUACCCCAAAAUUCAAACACAUGUUGCUGAUAUAUAAGUAGCCCAGUCCUUCCACUUUUUGUCUCCCUUUCUUUUUUUUUUUUUUUUUUUUGAGACAGAGUCUUGCUCUGUCACCCAGGCUGGGGUGCAGUGGCACAAUCUUGGCUCACUGCAAGCUCUGCCUCCCGGGUUCACCCAUUCUCCUGCCUCAGCCUCCCGAGUAGCUGGGACUACAAGCGCCCGCCACCACGCCUGGCUAAUUUUUUUUGUAUUUUUAGUAGAGACAGGGUUUCACUGUGUUAGUCAGGAUGGUCUCGCUCUCCUGACCUCGUGAUCCACCCGCCUCGGCCUCCCAAAGUGCUGGGAUUACAGGCGUGAGCCACUGUGCCCAGUCCUGUCUCCCUUUCUUAAUAAAAAAAUUACUCCUCCUAUAAAAUGAUCACUAACACCACUGAUAGGGUUUGGCUGUGUCCCCACCCAAAUCUGAUCUUGCACUGCGGCUCCCAUAAUUCCCAUGUGUUGUGGGAGGGAAUCAGUGGGAGAUAAUUGAAUCAUGGGGGCGGUUACCCCCAUACAGUUCUUGUGGUAGUGAAUAAGUCUCAUGAGAUCUGUUGGUUUUAUAAGGGGUUUCUGCUUUCACUUGGCUCUCAUUCUCCCUGCCUGCCGCCAUGUAAGACCUGCCUUCCGCCAUGAUUGUGAGGCCUUCCCAGCCACCUGGAACUAUGCUGAAUCUGAGGUUCAGAAAGACAAAAAGACCUGCUCACAAGUCUCUCAGCUGGCAAAUGGGAGAGGUGGGACUUGAGCCAAUCCUGCCUGCUCUGAAAGGUCUGUGUUCUUAACCAGGAAGUCGGUGCCUCCCUAAAUGUCCUUGAGCUCUUUUGGAUAGUACACAGAGGAACUGUCUCUUAUU